AUUGUCACUAAAAUAGGUGUAUUACAUUCCAUUCUUCAUGUUCCAAUAACGUUUCACGGGCAGGGAUGUGGGGGCAGUCCUGGUAAUCACACCCUGCAGUGCCCCCUACUGGUAAUUUUAAGAAGAGGUUAAGAGGGAAUACAGAAUAGCAGUGACUUUCUAAAUGGUGCUGAGAAUAAUCUAUGAGGUAGGGCUGGGGGGUUUUUUCACACAUACCCCUCAAAUUGGUUAUCAUUUUGGUACAUAUGCCAUCUUGGUUACAGGCUUACAGAGAAUGUCUAUGAGUCACAUCGGUGACGACCCAGUGUCAGUAGAAGGGAGUAGCACUCAAAUACAGGGGGAAAGUAGAAGAGAACCCGUCUAGGGAGAGAAGCAGAGUGUCUCAGAUCUUCUUAAAAGCCUCCCCUCCCAGCCCCGAGUCCAGACGGUGUGGCCGCAACAGGACAUAAUGUGGGUUUCAUUUGCCAAAAACUCAACGCUGAAAUGCUCCUGUUGGAUUUUUUCCCCCUGUGAAUUUUCCUUCUCUUUCAACAUGCAGAUAACUCUGGGAGGGUUAACUGCAUUGGUUUUGCAUUUGCUUUAACGUGAUUUCCUUGAACCAGACUGGCUUUAGCCAACAACAACUUGGUUUGGGGUUAAUUGGAACUGAGAGAAUGUACAAAAGGGCCUGGGGUCCAGGGCAGUAGAAGGACCCUGAAGAAAUUCUGUUUACAGCCCCAUCCUUGUGAACAAUUAACCUUAUUAUGGAGAAUUAGGAUGUUCAGAUGGGACUCUUCCCAUCUCCGAAUGUGGGCCAGGUCCAAAAGCUUAGAAAAUAGAUGCCAAGGCCAUUCUUCCAGGAUUUGCAAGAGGGUGACCAAAAAAAUUGUUCUUCCAAAGGGAACCCAUCUCUCACCUCCUGACAAUAUAAAAAGAAGUGUAAGAACUCAUUAGGAGAGGAAGAAGCUAGGACAUAGUUGGGAUUUUCUUUGAAGAGGUGUUGGUGCCCCAAGAGUCCUCCCACCAUCAACAAGGAGAAGGGUGUGCCUCCACCCACCUUAUCCGAGUGAGGAACUCCUCACGAGAACAACUUGGAGAGUGUGUCAUUUGUUCCAUGGAUACUGCAGUGACUGAGACUUGACUUGUCCCUGAAGUGUUAAAGGGCGUGGCAGACCCCUGGGCUAACAGCCCAUGGGAUGAACCUCAAUGGCCCCCACCG
rnacentral:lncRNA from 1 species